rnacentral:rRNA from 1 species
AAGAAAGGCUCCUUCACAUGGCAAAGUAUUGUGGCCGGCCUGGGUACUUUUCGAAGAGGACACAUUUGGAGAGUUGGCACUGGUGAACAGAUAGAUAUUUGGGAGGACCACUGGAUACCAGGAAGUCCAUCUAGAAUGGUGCAGACACCUAAAGGCCAAAUUCUGCUACAAACAGUAAGUGAUUUAAUUGUUCAUGUCACUGGAAGUUGGGAUGAGGUGCUUAUCAGGGAUGUUUUAAACCCGAUUGGCGUGGAAAGAAUCAUGUGGAUACCCUUAGGCGAACAUCUGAAUGAAAAUUUUGUGGCCUGGCAUUUUAUGAAAUCAUAUAUGUUCAAGGUAAAUUCAGUGUACUAUAUUGAAUGGGAUCAUGCUCAUAGGCACCGACUGACUAGAGCUAAUGGACCGGGGACAAUUUCACGCAAUCUUGUGUGGGACAUCUUAUGGAAGGUGAAAGUGCCAAGCAAAGUAAAAAUCUUUGGAUGGAAAGCCUUGCAUGGCCUAAUCCCGGGCCUAGCAGUGUUGGCAAAUAGACACACUCCUACUCUGGGUCAAUGUCCGGUUUGCUCUUCAGGUCUUGAAGAUAUUAAGCAUCUGAUGUUCACUUGCAGCCGGGCAGAAGAUGUUUGGAAAUCACCGGGUCUUCAAGACAUUAUUAUGAAGGCUACAUAUGUUUACAGAUCUGGAUCCAUAGUUCUUGAAGAGCCGCUUCAUCGACAGAAUAAUAAAUCGUUGGUAGUUGGGCAAGUUGGGUUGACGGAGAUGAUUAUUGUGGGAGUUUGGUAUAUUUGGUGGCAACGUAGAGAGUUUGUGAAAGGGGUAGGUCUGCUUUUGCUAUUCAAGCUAUAG